rnacentral:rRNA from 1 species
UUUUUUUAGCGGUAACUCUGCCAGUGACAUUGCUUCAACGGCCGCGGUAUCCUGACCGUGCAAAGGUAGCACAAUAAUGAGCCUCCUAAUUAGAGGAUAGAAUGAAUGAAUCAACGAAAAAGAUACUGUCUCAUAAAUACCCACUGAAAUUUAUAAAUGGGUGAAAAAGCCCAUAUAUUAAUUAAAGACAAGAAGACCCUAUAAACUUUUUUUAAAUUUAAUAAACCUAAUUAAAUAUUAUUUAGUUGGGGCGACUCAAAGAUUUAAACACUUUUAAUCAUUAGAGGCAAUAUCUCACUUUAACUAUCCAAUAACAAUCAAGCAAGCUACUAUAGGGAUAACAGGCUAAUACUUUCCAAGAGUACAUAUCUACGAAAGUGCUUGGCACCUCGAUGUUGGCUUAGGGCGUCUAUUUCAUGCAGAAGUGAAAAAAGAAGGUUUGUUCAACCAUUAAUUCCCU